rnacentral:sRNA from 1 species
CGAUCAUAGACACACUACUUUUAAACUAAAAUGGGCAUAUAUGAGAGGCUUCACAGAAGCAAAACAGGUAGGUUCUGAAUUUUGCUUGUUGCCAAAAAAAUAAAAUACUGUUUUCCAUUCUCACUUGACUUGUAGUCCUAGGUGGUGGAAACAAAUUAGUGUUUUAUUUUAUCAAAUUGGUCUUGGUCAUGUUUCUGUUUGUGUUUUUGUGCUGUAGCUGAACUGAGAAUUUUUUAACAUUCAUUAGAAAAUUAGAAGAAGGAAAACUGCCUCAUGGUUAAGAGAGUCUGUAUUGCAGCUUGGUCCAACUUUCAUUAAACUUGGUCAGUUGUCAUCAACAAGGUCGGAUCUGUUUCCACGUGAAUUUGUGGAUGAGCUCGUAAAAUUGCAGGACAUGGUUCCUGCCUU